rnacentral:lncRNA from 1 species
AUGCUUUAGGUAGGGGGCCUCUGAACCCAACAAGGCACUUGACAAACUGCCUUUAUUCAACAUUUGAAUGUGUCACUUAAUAUGUAAAUCGUGCGGAGGACAAUUAUAACUUCAUUAUUAUAUAUAUAUGAGGGACCAUGUAAAGAGUUUUGUAAUCCUUAGUCACAUUGUAAUUAUUUGUAAGUUGGCCAAUUCAAAGGGUUUGC